CCCUUAGAUGUUCUGGGCCGCACGCGUGCUACACUGAGUGGAUCAGCGGGUCAGGUUGCGCGAAAGUGUUUCCUAAUCUUGAAAUCCGCUCGUGAUGGGGAUUGACGGUUGCAAUUUUCCGUCAUGAACGAGGAAUACCUUGUAAGCGCGGGUCAUCAUCCCGCGCUGAAUACGUCCCUGCCCUUUGUACACACCGCCCGUCGCUCCUACCGAUUGAAUGGUUCGGUGAAGAAUCUGGACACAUGAUGUUUGGGAUUCAUUUCCUGAAUGUCGAGUGGAAUGUUUCUAAACCUAACCCUUUAGAGGAUGGUGAAGUCGUAACA
rnacentral:rRNA from 1 species